UAGUUGCGCCAUAAUACUGGAGAAACCAUGUCAGAAGUUCUUACGAAACAAUAGCGCAUCUGUUAGUACAAGCAAUCUUCAUUCAGGUGUUGUAAGUAUUUUGUCGGUUUAUUUCCUUGAUGUCCAGAGAACGUAUCUGAAUGCAUGUGAUAUUCAAGCGAAUUAGCUGCGAAAAACUGUGCUCGAAAUUGCAGCUUUAGAGAAUGCGGAUUUAAAUUUACUAUUUGAUAUGAUAAAUAAACGAAGGGUAUGGCAGAUAUGUUGGUUCUCAUCUGUGCAGCAGCAAUUCUUUUACUGAUGAUUCUUCUUUCUAUUCUUGCGGCUAAAAUGGUAUCAACUUUAUUUCACAUUCCAGUUCAUGAACCAGAGAACAGACGUCUAAUCUAUAAUGCACCUGAUCUGCAAACAUAUUCAGCUGUGCCUAUGACUGAUCAUCCUCAUUUCCGAAUACUUGAAGAGUAUGAACAGAGCAUAAGUUUAUUGAGUCAAACCAAACAAUCAACUAAUAAUGCAAACAAAACACGCAAAAAUAACUUUCUUUUUUAGUGGUAAAGAUGCUUCAGAAGCAAUGUGUACAUAAAAUUUCGCAUAAAAAAUGCAUGUAUAUCGAGCCAAGAGAUAAUAAAUAAAGUUUAUCUGCUAAGAGCUCUAAAA